rnacentral:rRNA from 1 species
UACGUAGGGGGCUAGCGUUGUCCGGAAUCAUUGGGCGUAAAGAGCUCGUAGGCGGCUUAGUAAGUCGGGUGUGAAACCUCCAGGCUCAACCUGGAGACGCCACCCGAUACUGCUGUGGCUAGAGUCCGGUAGGGGAGCGUGGAAUUCCUGGUGUAGCGGUGAAAUGCGCAGAUAUCAGGAGGAACACCAGCGGCGAAGGCGGCGCUCUGGGCCGGUACUGACGCUGAGGCGCGAAAGCCAGGGGAGCGAACGGG